rnacentral:misc_RNA from 1 species
CAUAAACAUUUGUCCAAGCAAUUGGGAUUUGAGACCCGCUGUCUGUGGAUGGCGCUUCUUUAAAUGUAUUACGGGGCUGGCACUUGCUGCAUGCUGCUCGAGUGAGGAAGUUUGCAUCCGUGCAAAAUAUUCAUGAGAGGAGUGUGUGCCGAAGCGGAAGCAGAAGCGAAAAAGCAAGGUGCAUUGUUGCACCGAAACAUGACCAUGAUGUCGUCGCUAACACGCUCAUCAUGCAGUCGCACAA